CUUUCUUCCCCUAUUUAUAUAUGAUGGGAACCACUUUUUUAGGUGGUUGUGCAUCUGCCUGAUCACCUGCUUAUUGCGUCAGGAAAGAAUCUUUCCGAUCAGGCCGAAUUGCCUGAUGCCGGGACAGAGUUUCCUGUUGGCCUAUACCAGCUGCAAAUUGUGACACCAACCUCUCCCACCUCUGCUGCGCUGGCUGAGCAGAACACCACUGAAGAGCUGCCUGUGAAACUUGCCAUCUUUCUCCAUCAAGAAUAUUAAGUUCUUAAUUGGGUUGGAGUAAAGAAAAGCAAUUUAGUAAUUAAAGAGAACUCUGAACUUGGAAAC